rnacentral:rRNA from 1 species
CGAACGGGUGAGUAACACGUGAGCAACCUGCCCUAUACAACGGGAUAACACAGAGAAAUUUGUGCUAAUACGGUAUAAGACCACAGUAUCGCAUGAUACAGGGGUAAAAGAUUUAUCGGUAUAGGAUGGGCUCGCGACCCAUUAGCUAGUUGGUGAGGUAACGGCCCACCAAGGCAACGAUGGGUAGCCGACCUGAGAGGGUGAUCGGCCACACUGGGACUGAGACACGGCCCAGACUCCUACGGGAGGCAGCAG